ACGUCAUCCCCACCUUCCUCCGGUUUGUCACCGGCGGUCCCCUUAGAGUUCCCAACUUAAUGAUGGCAACUAAGGGUAAGGGUUGCGCUCGUUGCGGGACUUAACCCAACAUCUCACGACACGAGCUGACGACAGCCAUGCAGCACCUGUCUUAUCGUUCCCGAAGGCACUCCCACAUCUCUGCAGGAUUCGACAGAUGUCAAGGGUAGGUAAGGUUUUUCGCGUUGCGUCGAAUUAAUCCACAUCAUCCACCGCUUGUGCGGGUCCCCGUCAAUUCCUUUGAGUUUUAAUCUUGCGACCGUACUCCCCAGGCGGUCGACUUCACGCGUUAGCUGCGUUACCGAGAAAAUGAAUUCCCGACAACUAGUCGACAUCGUUUAGGGCGUGGACUACCAGGGUA
rnacentral:misc_RNA from 1 species